ACAAAGGUGGCUUCCAUAGGUCAUAGUGGUUAUCAGCUGUGCCUCCCUCUUAGAGGUCCUCGGAGUCCGGAGUCCUUGAAGGGAAAUCUGACACAAUGAAGCAGGUGUGAGACCGGCCCCUUUCUCCCAUGCUUUAGACAGGGCUCCAGGGACUGCUUCAGGGGAGAUGUCAGAUGGCAGCCAGACCGGGAAGGGAGGAAGAAAGCAGAGUGACAGUGAGAGGGGGAAAACUACAAGAGGAAUUGUUUGUAUGCUUGGAUCUGGACUUUUAGAGCUGGUCAGGACCUGACAGAUCCUCCAGCCCAGUUCUCCCGGCUCUCAAACACUGGUAUCAUUUGUGAUUCCCUGGAAAAUCACCAGCAGGUAAAUGAAGGAGAAAAGAAAAGAACAAAAUCCACCGGGAACCAGAGACUUCCAGGCUCCAAAGACAGGCAAUCUCCACCAGGAAGCAUUUCACUAAAUUCUUGAAGGAGUCUGAGAGAACUUGGGGGCGCUUGAGGAACCCAAAGGUGUGAAGUAAAAGCUGGAAACCAAGAUUGCUGGGAAAGUUCAGAGAAAGUAGAGAUACUUCGUUUGAUGGAGAUCACAUGCAAGGUAAUGAUAUAGGAGGUAGAAAGAAAUUAGGCAGAGAGUGAGGGCAACAGAGUCCUUGGCAGAGCUUCCCUUUUAACAAAAAAGCAGCCCAAGAAAUUAUUUUUUUUUCUAACAAAGAGCACCCUGAAAAAUCCAGCUGCAAAAAUAGAUACUGGAAACUUGCAUGGGGG
rnacentral:lncRNA from 1 species